rnacentral:rRNA from 1 species
GACGAACGCUGGCGGCGUGCUUAACACAUGCAAGUCGAACGGAAAGGCCCUGCUUGCAGGGUACUCGAGUGGCGAACGGGUGAGUAACACGUGGGUGAUCUGCCCUGCACUUCGGGAUAAGCCUGGGAAACUGGGUCUAAUACCGGAUAGGAGCCAUUUUUAGUGUGAUGGUUGGAAAGUUUUUUCGGUGUAGGAUGAGCUCGCGGCCUAUCAGCUUGUUGGUGGGGUAAUGGCCUACCAAGGCGGCGACGGGUAGCCGGCCUGAGAGGGUGGACGGCCACAUUGGGGCUGAGGUACGGCCCAGACUCCGACGGGGGGCAGCAGUGGGGAAUAUUGCACAAUGGGCGCAAGGCUGAUGCAGCGACGCCGCGGGGGGGAUGACGGCCUUCGGGUUGUAAACUCCUUUCGCUAGGGACGAAGCUUUUUGUGACGGUACCUAGAUAAGAAGCACCGGCUAACUACGUG